rnacentral:rRNA from 1 species
UACAGAGGUGCCAAGCGUUGUUCGGAUUUAUUGGGCGUAAAGCGCGCGCAGGCGGUCUUCCAAGUCAGUGGUGAAAGCCCGGAGCUCAACUCCGGAACUGCCAUUGAAACUGUUAGACUUGAGGACGAGAGAGGUGAGUGGAAUUCCCAGUGUAGAGGUGAAAUUCGUAGAUAUUGGGAAGAACACCGGUGGCGAAGGCGGCUCACUGGCUCGUAUCUGACGCUCAGGCGCGACAGCGUGGGGAUCAAACAGG